rnacentral:lncRNA from 1 species
AAUUUUUGAGAAAGGAGAUGAUUGAGAAUCAUUAUUUUGAGGAGAGAAAAUUUUCUUUUUUCAAAAUUGUUUAAACGGUGUUUGGAUUCGGUGUGAUUGAAGCUUCGUGGAUUCGAAGUGGAGGCGUUCGUGGACUCGAACGUGAGGGCGUGGACAGCCCGGAGGGUAGCGCGAAGAUUCAUAGGAGGUUAAGAGAGGUUGAGUUCGUGGAGUCGGUAAUCACCUUGUAAUCUUUUCUCUUAGUGAAUUAUUUUUUCGCGUGUUGAUCCCGUGGGUUUUUCUCCAAGUUGGAGUUUUCCCACGUAAAUCUCGGUGUGCUUUUUAUUUUUCGCAUUUAUUUUUAU